rnacentral:rRNA from 1 species
AUUGAACGCUGGCGGCAGGCUUAACACAUGCAAGUCGAACGGUAACAGGUCUUCGGAUGCUGACGAGUGGCGAACGGGUGAGUAAUACAUCGGAACGUGCCUAGUAGUGGGGGAUAACUACUCGAAAGAGUAGCUAAUACCGCAUGAGAUCUACGGAUGAAAGCAGGGGACCUUCGGGCCUUGUGCUACUAGAGCGGCUGAUGGCAGAUUAGGUAGUUGGUGGGGUAAAGGCUUACCAAGCCUGCGAUCUGUAGCUGGUCUGAGAGGACGACCAGCCACACUGGGACUGAGACACGGCCCAGACUCCUACGGGAGGCAGCAGUGGGGAAUUUUGGACAAUGGGCGAAAGCCUGAUCCAACAAUGCCGCGUGCAGGAUGAAGGCCCUCGGGUUGUAAACUGCUUUUGUACGGAACGAAAAGCCUGGGGCUAAUAUCCCCGGGUCAUGACGGUACCGUAAGAAUAAGCACCGGCUAACUACGUGCCAGCCGCCGCAGUAA